AUGGCUCAGGAUGAACGCUAGCUACAGGCUUAACACAUGCAAGUCGCGGGGCAGCAUUCCUUAGCUUGCUAAGGAAGAUGGCGACCGGCGCACGGGUGAGUAACGCGUAUCCAACCUGCCCACCACUUGGGAAUAACCUUGCGAAAGUAAGACUAAUACCCAAUGAUAUCCCAUGAAGGCAUCCGAAUGGGAUUAAAGAUUUAUCGGUGAUGGAUGGGGGAUGCGUCUGAUUAGCUUGUUGGCGGGGUAACGGCCCACCAAGGCAACGAUCAGUAGGGGUUCUGAGAGGAAGGUCCCCCACAUUGGAACUGAGACACGGUCCAAACUCCUACGGGAGGCAGCAGUGAGGAAUAUUGGUCAAUGGGCGAGAGCCUGAAACCAGCCAAGUAGCGUGCAGGAUGACGGCCCUAUGGGUUGUAAACUGCUUUUAUAAGGGAAUAAAGUGAGUCUCGUGAGACUUUUUGCAUGUACCUUAUGAAUAAGGACCGGCUAAUUCCGUG
rnacentral:rRNA from 1 species